rnacentral:rRNA from 1 species
CCUACGGGUGGCAGCAGUGAGGAAUAUUGGUCAAUGGGCGCGAGCCUGAACCAGCCACGUAGCGUGAAGGAUGACUGCCCUACGGGUUGUAAACUUCGUUUAUAAAGGAAUAAAGUGAGGCACGUGUGCCAUCUUGCAUGGACUUUAUGAGUGAGAGUCGGCUAACUCCGUGCCAGCAGCCGCGGGAAUACGGGGGUUCCGAGCGUUAUCCGGAUUUAUUGGGUUUAAAGGGAGCGUAGGUGGGUUGUUAAGUCAGCUGUGAAAGUUUGCGGCUCAACCUGAAAAUUGCAAUUGAUACUGGCAGUCUUGAGUGCAGUUGAGGUAGGCGGAAUUCGUGGUGUAGCGGUGAAAUGCUUAGAUAUCCCGAAGAACUCCGAUUGCGAAGGCAGCCUACUAAACUGCAACUGACAUUGAUGCUCGAAAGUGUGGGUAUCAAACAGGAUUAGAUACCCGGGUAGUC